GAGUUUGAUCAUUCCUCAGGACGAACGCUGGCGGCGUGCCUAACACAUGCAAGUCGAACGGAGUAAGUAGCAAUACUUACUUAGUGGCGAACGGGUGAGUCACGCGUAGACAACCUGCCUCUAAAUUGGGGACAACACCGCGAAAGUGGUGCUAAUACCGAAUGUGGUAUCUCGGUUGCAUGACCGAGAUAAGAAAGAUGGCCUCUACAUGUAAGCUAUCGCUUAGAGAUGGGUCUGCGUCUGAUUAGCUAGUUGGUGGGGUAAAGGCCUACCAAGGCGACGAUCAGUAGCCGGCCUGAGAGGGUGAACGGCCACACUGGGACUGAGACACGGCCCAGACUCCUACGGGAGGCAGCAGUGGGGAAUCUUCCGCAAUGGACGAAAGUCUGACGGAGCAACGCCGCGUGUAUGAUGAAGGUCUUCGGAUUGUAAAGUACUGUCUUUGGGGAAGAAUGAUACGCUUGAAAAUAUUGAGUGUAUAUGACGGUACCCAAGGAGGAAGCCCCGGCUAACUACGUGCCAGCAGCCGCGGUAAUACGUAGGGGGCAAGCGUUGUCCGGAAUUAUUGGGCGUAAAGGGCGCGUAGGCGGAUUUUUAAGUCUGGUGUGAAAGAUCAGGGCUCAACCCUGAGAGUGCAUCGGAAACUGAGAUUCUUGAGUGCAGGAGAGGAAAGUGGAAUUCCCAGUGUAGCGGUGAAAUGCGUAGAUAUUGGGAGGAACACCAGUGGCGAAGGCGACUUUCUGGACUGUGUCUGACACUGAGGCUCGAAAGCGUGGGGAGCAAAAGGAUUAGAUACCCUGGUAGUCCACGCCGUAAACGAUGAUUGCUAGUUGUCGGG
rnacentral:rRNA from 1 species